rnacentral:snRNA from 1 species
UGGCCUAUCGAUCCUUUAG